CGAACGCUGGCGGCAGGCCUAACACAUGCAAGUCGAGCGAGAUCUUCGGAUCUAGCGGCGGACGGGUGAGUAACGCGUGGGAACGUGCCCUUUGCUACGGAAUAGCCCCGGGAAACUGGGAGUAAUACCGUAUGUGCCCUACGGGGGAAAGAUUUAUCGGCAAAGGAUCGGCCCGCGUUGGAUUAGGUAGUUGGUGGGGUAACGGCCUACCAAGCCGACGAUCCAUAGCUGGUUUGAGAGGAUGAUCAGCCACACUGGGACUGAGACACGGCCCAGACUCCUACGGGAGGCAGCAGUGGGGAAUCUUAGACAAAUGGGGGAAAACCCCUGAUCUAAGCCCUGCCGCGUGA
rnacentral:rRNA from 1 species